CAGAGUGGUGUGGACCACACCACAGAAAGACGGAAGUUAACUCCCCAGAAAAGCGACUCUAUCAGUCUGGAAAAGAGGAGGUAGCCUUCGAGCAGAAAACCUUGAAAAACAGCACUUGAAAUUACAGGUGCAGGUGUCCAGCUUACACAAGCGCGCGCAGGCAACUGCAAAGUACAUAAGGCAUCAGUGGCAUCCUGCUAAAAUUUCAACAGUAUUUUUCACCUGAUGAAAUGCGUUUAGCUCAAUAAACGUUACACCUUGACAAGUCGCCAGCUGAACGCACACGAUAUCUUUCGCGCUACCAAGGACAGAGCCGAGUCGGUGACGUCUCGCACGCGCGCGAGGUGCCCAAUCGGCCUUGCCAGGGCGGGGCGCGCGCCCGUGACCAUUAAACCCCGUUAGCACACACGCGCCUCCGCUGCGCACCAAUAACAGCAGCCAGCCGAGUGGCGUCUCUGUCCCGGAGGCGGCGCUGCGCCUUUAAGACUCGCUCGUUCCUCGCGCUCUCCCCAGCUCUCUAAGAUGGUGCCCCGCUCAGUCUCGGUCGUAGCAGCUACCCGGGCUUCCUUCCUUCCUCCUCCAGGGCUAAAAGGGGUAAAAAGCCGCUCAGCUGCUCUAACACGCCUGGGCAGAGCGCUGCCAUGCAAUGAGGCUAUCUGAAUGCACUUUAAUGGGGCGGCGUUCUACCUAGUUCAGAGGGCAACGCCUAAAAUGCUGCAAAAAUGAAACACCUUCCUUUAUCCACUUUUUAUUUCCCCCACCACCACCCUUUAUAACUGGGAGAUGCUGCUACCAAGGAACUGGAAUAUCAGACUGGAGCAUUUGUUUCAUUGUUCCUCAGGAAAGGAGGUGGAAGAGUGUGAAGCAUAAUGUCAUCACAACAAUAGUUUAAAAUAUCAGCAUCGGCAUCGGCAUCAGUCCUGGCUCCAGACAAAAAUGUGCCAAAAACUUGCCUAGUGAGGGCAAAUAGCCAAGCCCCUUCCAGUCCUGUCGACGCACAGCCUAGGCGUCCCAGAAGGAGGUUUUUUUUUCCCUGAGAAAGCUCCCUAAACUGCCACAGAGACCUCAAAAAGCCUUUGUUAAAGCCCUGAAGGGGAAUCGUGCGAAGACGUGUACUUUUAAGUUUCAUUUUUUCAAGUUUUUUAUCCUUUGUCUUAUGACAAAUAAAAGGGACAACCAUGUUGGCAUCCCAAAAAUGUAUUGCCUUUGAGUCUGUCACUACUGGUUCCGACCAUGGGGACAUUUUAAAUACUAAUGGGGACAUGGAGUGAUAAAGUCACAAAAAUCCAACAAGUAACAAUGUACCCGAUAUCGUAAGUGAGAAGGCUUAACAUGAUAUUGGGUACUUAGCCCAACUAAAUGACAUCCUUGAGUUGAGGUCUAUUCCCCAUCCAAGAUUACAGAUAAAAACUUUACUUUCUGCAUGACUGCUAAUGAAAAUAUUCCUGUUAAAAAAGACCUCUAAUUCUGUUUUUCUUGACUAUGAAAUCUAGUUACAGUUUUGUUUUUAGCAACAGUAUUUUUGAUUAUUUGGUUUCAACUGUUGCUUUCUCCUUCUGGUCACUGCUUCUCUUUUCACCUGAGUGCCCUCAAGUUGCCUGUUCAGAACUGGAAGCCCAGACACUUCCUGAACAACUCAUCCCUUUAAGGUGUACAGAUGAUUUAGGGAAGCUUUUUCACCACGUCUUCCAAGAAAAUUCUAGUUCUGUUUUCCUUGUAGCCAAAGUGAACUGACCUUAACACCAGAGAUUUUUCUGGGGCUUGUCCUGGAAGGCACCCCAGGUGAGGGUCUAAAGCUGGCCCCCGAUAGAAGAUUAAUUGACUCUAGAAGCAGAAGGAGAAUUUAGGCAAAACGUCCCUGGCUGGAGGAAGAGAGACUAGAGUUGUGAGAAAGAUGGGAAUCGAUGAAUGUAGUGAUU